rnacentral:tRNA from 1 species
GGUGGCUCAGUGGUAGUGCGCUUGCCUUGUAUGCAUGAAGCCCUGGGUUCGAUUCCUCAGCACCA